AAUAUAUCAAGUUUAGACAAAUAUUUCUGUAAAUAACUUUAUUAAUAAGUGUUAUAAGUAUCAAUUUUAUAUAAAAAUUGUUUCUUUUUCAAAUAUACAUGGAAAAAUUAAAGUUCUGAAUGCCUAGUUUUGUGUACACUUAACCUACACAAGGCCUACAUCGACCAUCGACUGCAUGUAGACAAAACAUGAUUUACACUACAUGUAAACAUUGAGUGUUAUCAAUGGGAACGUAAUUAUGUUUAGUUUAUGUGUGAGUUACACUUACACAACACCGAGUUUAGGUCAAUGUGAACACGGCC
rnacentral:lncRNA from 1 species